AUGCCUUAAAUUUAUGAGCAAGGAAAAUAAUGAUUCACAGUGAUGACCAAAUACUCACUUCAAAUGUGAUAAGAAAUUUUGAGAGGGCACAGGUUGCCCCUAAAGUGACCAACCAACUUUAGUGAGAUGUUUAGGUGUAGAGAUCUGCUGG